rnacentral:rRNA from 1 species
AGGGCACCACCAGGAGUGGAGCCUGCGGCUUAAUUUGACUCAACACGGGAAAACUCACCCGGCCCGGACACUGGAAGGAUUGACAGAUUGAGAGCUCUUUCUUGAUUCAGUGGGUGGUGGUGCAUGGCCGUUCUUAGUUGGUGGAGUGAUUUGUCUGGUUAAUUCCGAUAACGAACGAGACUCUAGCCUAUUAAAUAGAUCGUUGGCUUACAAACGCCGGCGAGACUUCUUAGAGGGACAGGCGGCGAUUCAGCCGCACGAAACAGAGCAAUAACAGGUCUGUGAUGCCCUUAGAUGUCCGGGGCCGCACGCGCGCUACACUGAAGUGAUCAGCGUGCAUUUUGAAACCUACUCUGUCGAGAGUGGGGAACCCAAUGAACCUUCUUCGUGAUUGGGAUAGGGGAUUGUAAUUAUUCCCCUUGAACGAGGAAUUCCCAGUAAGCGCGAAUCAUAAGUUUGCGCUGAUUACGUCCCUGCCCUUUGUACACACCGCCCGUCGCUACUACCGAUUGAAUGUUU